rnacentral:rRNA from 1 species
GUGAACGCUGGCGGUAGGCCUAACACAUGCAAGUCGAACGGCAGCACAGUAAGAGCUUGCUCUUACGGGUGGCGAGUGGCUGACGGGUGAGGAAUACAUCGGAAUCUACUUUUUCGUGGGGGAUAACGUAGGGAAACUUACGCUAAUACCGCAUACGACCUACGGGUGAAAGCAGGGGAUCUUCGGACCUUGCGCGAUUGCAUGAGCCGAUGUCGGAUUAGCUAGUUGGCGGGGUAAAGGCCCACCAAGGCGACGAUCCGUAGCUGGUCUGAGAGGAUGAUCAGCCACACUGGAACUGAGACACGGUCCAGACUCCUACGGGAGGCAGCAGUGGGGAAUAUUGGACAAUGGGCGCAAGCCUGAUCCAGCCAUACCGCAUGGGUGAAGAAGGACUUCGGGUUGUAAAGCCCUUUUGUUGGGAAAGAAAAGCAGCAGGUUAAUACCCCGCUGUUCUGACGGUACCCAAAGAAUAAGCACCGGCUAACUUCGUG